rnacentral:tRNA from 1 species
GAGGAUAUAGCUCAAGUGGUAGAGCACAUGCUUAGCAUGCAUGAGGUCCUGGGUUCAAUCCCCAGCACCUCCU